rnacentral:rRNA from 1 species
GGCCUUUUGAUAAUAAUUUAAGGUCUAACCUGCCCUAUGAGGAUUUAAAUGGCCGCGGUAUUUUGACCGUGCAAAGGUAGCAUAAUAAUUAGUUUUUUAAUUGAAAGCUGGUAUGAAUGGUUGAAUGAGAAAAUAACUGUCUCUUUCUAAUUUUUUUAGAAUUUUAUUUUUAAGUUAAAAAGCUUAAAUUUUAUUAAAAGACGAGAAGACCCUAUAGAGUUUUAUAAAAAUUGAUUUUUUAGUUUCUUAGAAUUUAUAUGAUUAAGAUUAAUUUUUAUUUGGUUGGGGCGACUAAGAAAUUGAAUAAACUUUUUUUUAUUAUUACAUUUAUUUAUGAUUAUUUGAUCCAUUUAUAGUGAUUAUAAGAGAAAAUUACCUUAGGGAUAACAGCGUAAUCUUUUUUGAGAGUUCAAAUCGAAAAAAGGGUUUGCGACCUCGAUGUUGGAUUAAAAUUAAAUUUUGGUGCAGAAGCUAGAAAUUUAGGUCUGUUCGACCUUUAAAAUUU